UUUAUGGAGAGUUUGAUCCUGGCUCAGGAUGAACGCUGGCGGCGUGCCUAAUACAUGCAAGUCGAGCGAACGGACGAGAAGCUUGCUUCUCUGAUGUUAGCGGCGGACGGGUGAGUAACACGUGGAUAACCUACCUAUAAGACUGGGAUAACUUCGGGAAACCGGAGCUAAUACCGGAUAAUAUUUUGAACCGCAUGGUUCAAAAGUGAAAGACGGUCUUGCUGUCACUUAUAGAUGGAUCCGCGCUGCAUUAGCUAGUUGGUAAGGUAACGGCUUACCAAGGCAACGAUGCAUAGCCGACCUGAGAGGGUGAUCGGCCACACUGGAACUGAGACACGGUCCAGACUCCUACGGGAGGCAGCAGUAGGGAAUCUUCCGCAAUGGGCGAAAGCCUGACGGAGCAACGCCGCGUGAGUGAUGAAGGUCUUCGGAUCGUAAAACUCUGUUAUUAGGGAAGAACAUAUGUGUAAGUAACUGUGCACAUCUUGACGGUACCUAAUCAGAAAGCCACGGCUAACUACGUGCCAGCAGCCGCGGUAAUACGUAGGUGGCAAGCGUUAUCCGGAAUUAUUGGGCGUAAAGCGCGCGUAGGCGGUUUUUUAAGUCUGAUGUGAAAGCCCACGGCUCAACCGUGGAGGGUCAUUGGAAACUGGAAAACUUGAGUGCAGAAGAGGAAAGUGGAAUUCCAUGUGUAGCGGUGAAAUGCGCAGAGAUAUGGAGGAACACCAGUGGCGAAGGCGACUUUCUGGUCUGUAACUGACGCUGAUGUGCGAAAGCGUGGGGAUCAAACAGGAUUAGAUACCCUGGUAGUCCACGCCGUAAACGAUGAGUGCUAAGUGUUAGGGGGUUUCCGCCCCUUAGUGCUGCAGCUAACGCAUUAAGCACUCCGCCUGGGGAGUACGACCGCAAGGUUGAAACUCAAAGGAAUUGACGGGGACCCGCACAAGCGGUGGAGCAUGUGGUUUAAUUCGAAGCAACGCGAAGAACCUUACCAAAUCUUGACAUCCUUUGACAACUCUAGAGAUAGAGCCUUCCCCUUCGGGGGACAAAGUGACAGGUGGUGCAUGGUUGUCGUCAGCUCGUGUCGUGAGAUGUUGGGUUAAGUCCCGCAACGAGCGCAACCCUUAAGCUUAGUUGCCAUCAUUAAGUUGGGCACUCUAAGUUGACUGCCGGUGACAAACCGGAGGAAGGUGGGGAUGACGUCAAAUCAUCAUGCCCCUUAUGAUUUGGGCUACACACGUGCUACAAUGGACAAUACAAAGGGCAGCGAAACCGCGAGGUCAAGCAAAUCCCAUAAAGUUGUUCUCAGUUCGGAUUGUAGUCUGCAACUCGACUACAUGAAGCUGGAAUCGCUAGUAAUCGUAGAUCAGCAUGCUACGGUGAAUACGUUCCCGGGUCUUGUACACACCGCCCGUCACACCACGAGAGUUUGUAACACCCGAAGCCGGUGGAGUAACCUUUUAGGAGCUAGCCGUCGAAGGUGGGACAAAUGAUUGGGGUGAAGUCGUAACAAGGUAGCCGUAUCGGAAGGUGCGGCUGGAUCACCUCCUU
rnacentral:rRNA from 5 species